CUAGCCGUAAACGAUGGAUACUAGGCGUUGAGAGUAUCGACCCUCACAGUGUCGUAGCUAACGCGUUAAGUAUCCCGCCUGGGGAGUACGCGCGCAAGCGUGAAACUCAAAGGAAUUGACGGGGGCCCGCACAAGCGGUGGAGUAUGUGGUUUAAUUCGAUGCAACGCGAAGAACCUUACCAGGACUUGACAUGUCGCGAAUCUCAGGGAAACUUGAGAGUGCCUUCGGGAGCGCGAACACAGGUGGUGC
rnacentral:rRNA from 1 species